AUGCAAAAUUUGUUCAUUUAUUGUGUAAAUUAUUACGAUGGUACAAUAAUAAUGUUGCGCAUCAUAUAAUUGGUGUACAAAACGAAAAUAACCUGUGGAACAAAAUGAUUAUUACAAAGACAUGAAAACCAUAUAAAAUAAACAAUCGUAUAUGAUAAAACAUUAUUGAUGAAACAAAGAAUAACCACUCAAAUCCCAUUAAAAACAAAAGUAUAUAAAAAGUUCAGCAAACAACAAAAAAGUAAAUUAUUGGUAAGGAAAGAAACAAAAACAUAUCAUUGGCCCAUCCGUUUGAACAAAUUACUUUAGUUUGACUUCAUUGAUCUGAAAUGAAGCUUCUAUUUCGUAGCACCCAUUUGGAACACCAUAUUUGGUGAUGAUUCCUACGGGAAAUUAACGAGAUUUUUUCUUUUGUAGAACUGUCCAGAGAAAC
rnacentral:lncRNA from 1 species